UACAUCCACAUCUCUUUAUCUUUAGUCUCCCAACUAUAUUACCUGCUCCUCUUGCCCCCCUGAAAGCCAAACUCCACACCAUAGAGCAGGGUUGGCAAAUGUUUUCUUUAAAGGAUCAGAUAGCAAAUACUUGAGGCUUUGCAGGCCACGUGGUCUCUGUUGCAACUACUCAGGUCUGCUGCUGUAGACCGAAAGCAGCCACAGACUUAAGAUUUAAGAUGGGUAAGAUGCUUAAGCAAAUAGGUGUGGCUGUGUUUCAAUAAAACUUUAUUUACAGUAAUAGGUAUGUUUUGUGCUCAUCUCAGCCUAUCGAUAGUGAUGCUAUUGGCUAGAAAUGCCUGGGGCGAGAGAUCGAUCCAUUUAGGGGACCACUUGCCUGAAAGUAGUUUAAGGAGUCUCUCUUCAAGAAGGCCAUGAUCGUGCUCAAUGGGGCCAGCCACCUGGGGGCCGUAAGCCAGAUGGAAGUUCCAGAAAAUAUUCUGUUGGGGAGCCCACUGUUUCUUCUGAAAAAACAUAAUUGGACCCUGGGGAGUGUUUAGCUCAAAUACACUGAGUGAUACAGGAUGCCACAGGAGUGAGGGACAAGUUCCUUGACACGGCAAGGACAAAGCAGAGAAAAUGAAGAAUUGAUGGAGAUGGAAAGACAAGCAGGAGAGGCUUUGAAACCAAUGGAUAAGUAGAUAAAUGGAAAACAAUGAGAAAGGCAACCCAGAAGUUGUACCACCUGCUAGCCCUGCCCAAAUUGGGAUGUCAGUUGAAUCUGGCCAGUUCUCCAAAGACUUUUUAAACCUGUGCUCUCGUCCAGGCACAUUUCAUUGUCACAGAGCUCCAUCGCGUUAGGCCACGACAAGCUGGUCUUCCGUCCUCCUACUUCACUGCUUCCUUGCCACAUCAUUUCAUUUCAUGGGAAUUUAAAGAAAUAAUGAUGUCUAUUUUAUUUUAAAAAUAGGUUGGUUCUGGGGCCGGCCCCGUGGCCGAGUGCUUAAGUUUACGCGCUCCACUGCGGCAGCCCAGGGUUCAGAUCCUGGGCGUGGACAUGGCACUGCUCGUCAGGUCACGUUGAGGUGGCGUC
rnacentral:lncRNA from 1 species